rnacentral:rRNA from 1 species
UACGUAGGGUGCGAGCGUUGUCCGGAUUUACUGGGCGUAAAGAGCGCGCAGGCGGUCGUUCAAGUCGAGUGUGAAAGCCCCCGGCUCAACUGGGGAGGGUCACUCGAUACUGAUCGACUCGAAGGCAGGAGAGGGUAGUGGAAUUCCCGGUGUAGUGGUGAAAUGCGUAGAUAUCGGGAGGAACACCAGUGGCGAAGGCGACUACCUGGCCUGUUCUUGACGCUGAGGCGCGAAAGCGUGGGGAGCGAUCCGG